AGCUUUGCGCAGUGGCAGUAUCGUAGCCAAUGAGGUUUAUCCGAGGCGCGAUUAUUGCUAAUUGAAAAAAUAAAACAGUGGCAUUAGUCCUUGAUGUAGACCAUGGAUACAAUCCUAAUUACAGG
rnacentral:snRNA from 1 species